rnacentral:rRNA from 1 species
ACGAACGCUGGCGGCGUGCUUAACACAUGCAAGUCGAACGAUGAUGCCAGCUUGCUGGUGGAUUAGUGGCGAACGGGUGAGUAACACGUGAGCAACCUGCCCCUGACUUCGGGAUAACCGCGGGAAACCGUGGCUAAUACCGGAUAUGACGCGCUAUCGCAUGGUGGUGUGUGGAAAGAUUUAUCGGUUGGGGAUGGGCUCGCGGCCUAUCAGCUUGUUGGUGGGGUGAUGGCCUACCAAGGCGACGACGGGUAGCCGGCCUGAGAGGGUGACCGGCCACGCUGGGACUGAGACACGGCCCAGACUCCUACGGGAGGCAGCAGUGGGGAAUAUUGCACAAUGGGCGCAAGCCUGAUGCAGCGACGCCGCGUGAGGGAUGACGGCCUUCGGGUUGUAAACCUCUUUCAGUAGGGAAGAAGGCCUUCGGGUUGACGGUACCUGCAGAAGAAGCGCCGGCUAACUACGUG